CGGCGCUGAUGAUGAUAGGGGGGAGGAUGUUUGCCAUGGCGGUACAAUCUGUUGGCGAGGUUUACUUUAUGGUGGCUUGGUUGGUGUUCUACUUCGCGGCGAGGAGUAAGGACGGGGAAUUGGAAGGUCGGAGAUUUGGGCGCCGUGAUCUGGAGGAUUGUAUCAAUGGACUCAGAUGACGGAGGCAGCAUAUUGAUUCAGGGUACCUAGUAAUUGCAACUGGGCGGCAUCAGAGCGAUGAAGAUCUUUUAUGUGGCAUAGACCCAAGAGAAACUUCAGCGUGUUAAGAGUUUUGAAGCGCUUGGUUGCCCUAUUG
rnacentral:misc_RNA from 1 species